GUUGACGUCAUGUCAAAAAAAAUGUCGAUGUUUUUAUGGUAACGUCUUCGGCAAUUUUCAUAACCCUCCCACUGGAUUUGCGCCUGUUACGGGAUAUACAGUACAGAACUAAUGAAAAGAUUCUCACCUCAAGGCAGAUUCUUUGGAAGUAUGCAGUCAUCUUUUUACUCAAGCCAAGUGUUUCAGUCUUAUUGCUGAUUAACUCGUUGUUCCGGAACCAUGCCAAGUGUCAGGUGAGGUCUGGUCAGAGGGUUUUACAUGCACAUUCAGAGCAAGCUGUUGUAGCGCACGCCUGUCAUGGGUGCAGGUGCUGGCCUUGGCCAGCUCCUCUGUCCAGCUCCUCUGUCCAGGACAGGAAAGGAAGGAGACCCGGUACCGAGCUGCGAACUCUGUACCUACCAGCCUUAUA